UAAUAAGUGUUUUAUGGCACUUUUUAAAUCCAUAUCCACCUUGUGUGCAAUGUCAGUCGAUCUUCUUCAUGGAGAUCGACCAAACAUCAACCUUUAUCUUCUAACUCUUUGUCUGAAGAAUAUUAUGAAUAAACAAUUCAAAAUA
rnacentral:misc_RNA from 1 species